rnacentral:rRNA from 1 species
AUGGCGGCCAUCCAAACUGAAAUUCUUGUGCUGGAUUUGACAGCCUCAAGUUUCUCCACAUUUCAGGUCCCACAAGGGUUGGUUAUUGGUUACAAACGAACCAUGUUGUCACGGGCAUAUGAUAAUUCUGGUGUGUAUCUCAUUCAUUUGAACGGGCUUCAGCUUUGCAUCUGGCUGCGCACAGGGGACAACUGGUUGCUGGUGGAUACCAUUUGCUUGCGUGAGAUGUAUGCUAAAUUGAGGAUGCCUGAUCUUACAGAUAGGGUGUGGAUAAAUCAGGUGGGGAUAAAUGCUGAGUUUGUUUUCUUGAGGAUGGGUCGAUGCCUAGUCUAUGUGGUAUCAAGUGCAGGAAGUUGUGUAAAGUGUAUGAGAUGA